rnacentral:rRNA from 1 species
GACGAACGCUGGCGGCGUGCUUAACACAUGCAAGUCGAACGGAAAGGCCCUGCUUGCAGGGUGCUCGAGUGGCGAACGGGUGAGUAACACGUGGGUGAUCUGCCCCUUACUUUGGGAUAAGCCUGGGAAACUGGGUCUAAUACUGGAUAGGACCAUGCUGUAGGUGGUGUGGUGGAAAGAUUAGUUUCGGUAAGGGAUGAGCUCGCGGCCUAUCAACUUGUUGGUGGGGUAAUGGCCUACCAAGGCGUCGACGGGUAGCCGGCCUGAGAGGGUGGACGGCCACAUUGGGACUGAGAUACGGCCCAGACUCCUACGGGAGGCAGCAGUGGGGAAUAUUGCGCAAUGGGCGCAAGCCUGAUGCAGCGACGCCGCGUGGGGGAUGACGGCCUUCGGGUUGUAAACUCCUUUCAGCCAUGACGAAGCCCUUGUGGUGACGGUAGUGGUAGAAGAAGCACCGGCUAACUACGUG